UACGGAGGGUGCGAGCGUUGUCCGGAAUCACUGGGCGUAAAGGGCGCGUAGGUGGCGCGAGUAGUCAACGGUGAAAGCCCGGGGCUUAACUCCGGGUCUGCAUUCGAUACGGGCAGGCUAGAGUUCGGUAGGGGAGAUCGGAAUUCCUGGUGUAGCGGUGAAAUGCGCAGAUAUCAGGAGGAACACCGGUGGCGAAGGCGGAUCUCUGGGCCGAUACUGACGCUGAGGAGCGAAAGCGUGGGGAGCGAACAGG
rnacentral:rRNA from 1 species